GACGAACGCUGGCGGCGUGCUUAACACAUGCAAGUCGAACGGAAAGGCCCUGCUUUUGUGGGGUGCUCGAGUGGCGAACGGGUGAGUAACACGUGAGUAACCUGCCCUUGACUUUGGGAUAACUUCAGGAAACUGGGGCUAAUACCGGAUAGGAGCUCCUGCUGCAUGGUGGGGGUUGGAAAGUUUCGGCGGUUGGGGAUGGACUCGCGGCUUAUCAGCUUGUUGGUGGGGUAGUGGCUUACCAAGGCUUUGACGGGUAGCCGGCCUGAGGGGGUGACCGGCAACAUGGGGACUGAGAACCGGCCCAACCCCCCAGGGGAGGGAGGAGGGGGGAAUAUUGCAAAAGGGGCGGAAGCCUGAGCCAGCAACCCCGGUGGCGGGAGGAGGGCCUUCGGGUUGGAAACCGCUUUCGCCUGUGACGAAGCGGGAGUGGCGGUAAUGGGUAAAGGAGCACCGGCUAACUACGU
rnacentral:rRNA from 1 species